rnacentral:rRNA from 1 species
UACGUAGGUGGCAAGCGUUGUCCGGAUUUACUGGGCGUAAAGGAUGCGUAGGCGGACAUUUAAGUCAGAUGUGAAAUACCCGAGCUUAACUUGGGUGCUGCAUUUGAAACUGGGUGUCUAGAGUGCAGGAGAGGUAAGUGGAAUUCCUAGUGUAGCGGUGAAAUGCGUAGAGAUUAGGAAGAACACCAGUGGCGAAGGCGACUUACUGGACUGUAACUGACGCUGGAGGCAUGAAAGCGUGGGGAGCAAACAGG